rnacentral:rRNA from 1 species
AGAGGUGGCAAGCGUUGUUCGGAAUUACUGGGCGUAAAGGGCGCGUAGGCGGCCUUGUAAGUCUCGUGUGAAAGCCCUCGGCUUAACUGAGGAUCUGCACGGGAUACUGCGAGGCUUGAGUUCGGGAGAGGAAAGCGGAAUUCCGGGUGUAGCGGUGAAAUGCGUAGAUAUCCGGAGGAACACCAGUGGCGAAGGCGGCUUUCUGGACCGACACUGACGCUGAGUGCGCGAAAGCUAGGGGAGCAAACGGGAUUAGAUACCCCGGUAGUCCUAGCUGUAAACGAUGAUCGCUGGGUGUGGGGGGUUUUUACUCCCUCCGUGCCGAAGCUAACGCAUUAAGCGAUCCGCCUGGGGAGUACGGUCGCAAGGCUG